GCGCUCAGGCCAGUUGAUACUAGUCGUGACGUCACUGGGCCUGCGGUAAACAGUGAGAAGGCAGCGGCGCUCCUGGAGCGCCGCUGCCUUCUCAAACAGCUGAUAGGCGGGGGUCCCGGGGUCGGACCCCGCUGAUCGGAUGCUGAUGAUCUUUCCAGAGGAUAGAUCAUCAGUUUAAACAAACUGCAGAACCCCUUUAAGUUUGGUAGAAAUG